GAACGCACCUUGCGCCCUUUGGCUAUUCUGGAGGGCAUGCCUGUCCGAGCGUCAUUGCUGCCCUCAAGCACGGCUUGUGUGUUGGGCCCCGCCCCCCGAUCCCGGGGGGCGGGCCCGAAAGGCAGCGGCGGCACCGCGUCCGGUCCUCGAGCGUAUGGGGCUUUGUCACCCGCUCUGUAGGCCCGGCCGGCGCUUGCCGAUCAACCAAACUUUUUUCCAGGUUGACCUCGGAUCAGGUAGGGAUACCCGCUGAACUUAAG
rnacentral:misc_RNA from 1 species